GCCCAACCGUAACACACAAUUAAAUUACCAAUUGUUCGCCAAACAACUACGAGUCCCACUUAAAACUUAAAAGACUUGACGGUACUUCACCACGCCCUAGAGGAGCCUGUCUAACAACCGACAACCCACGAUUAACCCAACCCCCUCUUGCCCAACAGUCUAUAUACCGCCGUCGCCAGCUUACCUUGUAAAAGAAAAAAAGUAAGCCAAAUAGCAUCACUAGCACGACAGGUCGAGGUGUAACUUAUGGGGGGGGCCAAGAUGGGCUACAUUCUCAACCGAGCACACGGACAACACCAUGAAAUUGGUCUUCAAAGGCGGAUUUAGCAGUAAGACAGGAAUAGAAUACCUGACUGAACACAACGCAAUGAAGUGUGUACACACCGCCCGUCAUCCCUGCCACCAC
rnacentral:rRNA from 1 species